ensembl:snRNA U6 U6 spliceosomal RNA
GUGCUUGCUUCCAUGGCACAUAUAUUAAAAUUGGACUGAUAGAGAUUAGCGUAUGACCCCUGUGCAAGGAUGACGUGCAAAUUCAUGAAGCAUUCCAUAUUUUU